rnacentral:ncRNA from 1 species
ACAAAUGCGAUGACGAGAAGAGUAGCCGGCAGAAUCCUUCGCCAGAGAGCCCCGGGAGCUGAAAAGGGGCAGGGAGGCUUUCGGUGAACCAAGACUCUGAGCUGCAUACCGGAACCUCGGCGGGGAUGGUAUGACGGGAGCUCCUGUUAUAGAGCUAGGGUAUGGGCCCCUUAGGCAGUACCCGAAAAGGCCGGUAUGGCAACAUAUCGGUGAACUGGGGUGGCACCGCGAUCAAAUCUCGCCCCCAAG